ensembl:lincRNA
AUGACCGCAACCCAUGUCCAGGAGAGUGUAGCCCGUCCCGGAUGCCAAGAUGAAGCUGGCCCCAUGCACGGAAACCAGAGCGUGCAUCUGGAACAUUCCCAGCAGGGUUUUCCCGUGACCCCACGGUGCACAGCGAUGGGCCCCGGGGCCCCAGGGCUCCCGAGCACUUGCCCACGGACCAGGGGCCUCCCACAGCCUGCUCUGGAAGCGAGACGGGCUCGGCCACAUUGUGCCCGCCGACUCUCAGGCCCGUGCCCCAUCCCAGGCCACGAGGGCUGGACACCCACCCGGAGGAGGGGUCCAGGAGAGGCAAGGGGGCCAGAACCAACCAGAAGGAAGCCUGGCUCCGGGGGUCCGGGCGGCCUGGCCGCCUCCGACAGCACAGCCUGGGUGUCCAGCACGGCCCGGCCCGGAGGCCCCAGCAGCAGGCCAUGCGGCGGGCUGCCAGGCGGCCAAGGGUGGUGCAGCCGGCCCAUCUCGAGCCCCGGCUGUUGCACGCGGAGCAGCCCAGGGAGGGUGCCGGAUGCCCCCGUGGUCCUGUGGACACAGGAGGAGGCCCCGCCCAGGGCUCUCAGAGAGAAACCAGCGCAUCGAGGAAGCCCGUGUCCAGUGUGGUUUCCAUCCUUGCCAGCCGAUGAAGCCCACGCCCCAGGAAAGCCUUCCGUCAUUUGGCUAAAACCCGACUCACUGGUUGGAGGUGGCUCUUCUGUUGUGCUCACAUCCUGUGCUAAGGUUGUCACAUUCAGUGCCGAAUUCACAAGGUGUGUGUGUGCGUGCGUGCAUGCAUGUGCAAACGAAGACAACACACAGGAUUCCAGUUCUUCCAAGGCACCUAGAGGUUGGCUCACUGGGUAGUUUAGACACACAGCUUGGUGUGAAUGUGAUGUACACAUUGUGUAAAAGGAGGGUGAGCUGUGUUACAUGGUAGCUGGGGAGCGGAGGGGACCACAUCGUCCCGUGUCAGGUUCAUCUUACAUUUUUGUCAGAAGAAACUCAACUCCAGUGCAGAUGCCGGACCAGGGAUGCUCCCCCAGGCUGAAAUCAGGGACAAGCUUUUGAGGUCAGACACUACGCUCUCCUUUGGUGGGCGCAGGAUUUCCACUGGGCAAUGCACCACGAGCGUGCACCUGUCUGAGAAGGAGCAUCCCCUUCUGCUGUCACUAAAUCCACAGUCAUUCAUUCCCUUGUUCAAGAUCCUGGGCCAGUUCGUGCUCCUCGAGCUGAACCUGACGUCAGGACAUGUAUCUCAAGUCUGAAAGCUGGUUUGAUCCUCCGUGCAUAGUUCUGUCUUGUUUUAAUGACUGCAUCCUCUUGGCACAUUCACUGUAUUCAGAAGUGAUUGGCAAACAGUAUCCUUGCAGUAAAAGCCGCCUCGGAGCUGCAGACGAGCUGCUAAGUUGAGUGGACUGUACUAUGCAGGCAUCUAGAAGCACGCCUUAAUCAACGCCCCUCGAAGCUUCAGGCCCUACUGUGUGCACAGAACAGCAGCUGCCCGGGCCGGCCACGUGGCACCUAAGGUUGUGUAUUUGAAACCAGUUCAAAUCGACCCCCUUCAUGUUUCUUUGGGAUCAUCGUGAUUUUGCUUGUUGUACAUACAUCUGGAAGACGCUCUAUGCCCUCCCACCUACCUCAAGGCAACUUAAUCGUAGUUUUGCAAUUUAAAAACAUGCCAACCACACAGGAGAGGGAAGCGUGUAAAUGCAUACCAAUGCUAGGAAGCUGUAACCAUUUCUACGUAAGCAGUCGGGAAAGAGAUAACGGCUCCAAGAAGGUUUUAAAUAGUAUGAUGUGUACCAAACCCCACAUCCAUACCCUGCUGUGUUCCUGAAAGCAUUGAUUUAGUUGCAAAGUCAAUUCCUCUCUUUAGCUGUCAGGCACUUAUCAUGUGUCACAUGCACCUUCUUUUCAUCUCACUACAAAAUCCAGCACUGAAGGACUGGGAUUUAAAAAAAAUGAAAGGCAAGUAUGAGCCCUUUUCAUCAAUUCCUGCUGGCCCAGUGAGCCACUUGAGAUUUCAAGUGUUCUCAAAGCAGUGCAUCUUCUAGAACCUACAAAACUGGUGGGCUGGACUGAAUUCCCAGCAAGUGUUUGGGCUCUGACGGCUAGCUCCUCCUAAUGGGGCCAGGGGAGGGACCCCAAAAACCUGCCACAACUCUUUCCUGUGUCACCGAGACAUGGACAUCUGUAUAGCAUAGUGCUUAUCAGAGUACUCGCACCCGCGCAUGGCAGAACGAUGCUGCAGAGGCUUGUGUUCGUCUAAACUAGGAAUCCGUGCAGGCUGCAGUCCCUUCCGUCGGCAGGUGCACAGUGCAGUCCAGAGUUCCAGUUGCUGGGGGCACUGCCGCCCCCAGGAUACCCCGCGUGCCUUACACUCAAAGUCAGGAGAGGGGGCCUGAGAGUGGGUUUGGAAGCGUUUUUACAUGAAUCAACACUUAAUCAUCACUCCAUCAUCGAAACCUUUAGGUGGGUUGUGUGUUUUAGCACAGUAAUGGAUUUAAGUUCAGGCUCAGGAAUAUCAUAUCGGGAAUAUAUGUAUCGGAUCAUAUAUUUGUUUAUAUUUUUUAAAAGCUUCGUUGUAAAUUUAUGCAAAAACGAGUGAGGACUUGUUCCCUCCCAGCAGUGUGCCAGGCAGUGUUUGUGCUCUCAAAGCAAUCCCCGACAACCACGUCCCAGAUGUGUGACACUGUCCAGUGCUGGACCGUGUCCACAGGCCUGACGUAGGUUUGUGUGGUGAUCAGCAAGAAAAUUUUACACAUAUUUUUGUAUCGUGAUUCCUAUGAUAUAUACCGGAGAAUUUUUAUUCGUUUGUAAAUUAUUGUACAGUUUUAAUAAAAAACUUUUAAAUCUUAGAAUAUCAAAGUUGCUCCCCCGCACGAGGUAUUAAAGUGUGACCAUUUCAGCUGUCAGCCACCGCGGUGCUUCCGCGUUUAUCCUCUGAUCAAAGGGCCUCUUUCCAUGCCAGAAAGGGGGUCUGAGGCUCCUGCCCCUGGGAGGGGUCUCCCGGC